UGGGGAAUAUUGCACAAUGGGCGAAAGCCUGAUGCAGCAACGCCGCGUGAGUGAUGAAGGCCUUCGGGUUGUAAAGCUCUGUCUUCUGGGACGAUAAUGACGGUACCAGAGGAGGAAGCCACGGCUAACUACGUGCCAGCAGCCGCGGUAAUACGUAGGUGGCAAGCGUUGUCCGGAUUUACUGGGCGUAAAGGAUGCGUAGGCGGAUACUUAAGUCAGAUGUGAAAAUCCCGGGCUUAACUUGGGAACUGCAUUUGAAACUGGGUAUCUAGAGUGCUGGAGAGGAAAGUGGAAUUCCUAGUGUAGCGGUGAAAUGCGUCGAGAUUAGUAAGAACACCAGUGGCGAAGGCGACUUUCUGGACCGUAACUGACGCUGAGGCAUGAAAGCGUGGGGAGCAAACA
rnacentral:rRNA from 1 species